rnacentral:rRNA from 1 species
AGUGAACGCUGGCGGUAGGCCUAACACAUGCAAGUCGAACGGCAGCACAGUAAGAGCUUGCUCUUACGGGUGGCGAGUGGCGGACGGGUGAGGAAUACAUCGGAAUCUACUUUUUCGUGGGGGAUAACGUAGGGAAACAUACGCUAAUACCGCAUACGACCUACGGGUGAAAGCAGGGGAGCUUCGGACCUUGCGCGAUUGAAUGAGCCGAUGUCGGAUUAGCUAGUUGGCGGGGUAAAGGCACACCAAGGCGACGUUCCGUAGCUGGUCUGAGAGGAUGGUCGGCAACAUUGGAACUGAGCAACGGUCCAGAUCCUUACGGAAGGCAGCAGUGGGGAAUAUUGGACAAGGGGCGCAAGCCUGAUCCAGCCAUACCGCGUGGGUGAAGAAGGCCUCCGAGUUGUAAAGCCCUUUUGUUGGGAAAGAAAAGUAGCAGGUUAAUACCCCGCUGUUCUGACGGUACCAAAAGAAUAAGCACCGGCUAACUUCGU